ensembl:lncRNA
CUGGUCUGCAGCGGUCUGGCCGGUGUCCAUUUCUGACUGUGGGGACAGGGGGCAAAUGGAGGGAGAGUGAGAGAAAGGCGAAGAGCACGAGGGAGAGUGGGAUGGAGAGGGAUGCUGUGAGCCGUUCUGUUAAAACGUUCAGCGGUGGAGGGAAGCCAUCUGCUGCAUUACAACAACCUGCAGGAGAUAGAGAGGUGAAGGAGGUAGCGUAUAGCGCCUAAGGAGAAGUAAUCACGGUUAUCACCUAUAUCUCGGUUCGGUCGCUGUGUCAGCUGUAUCAAAACGACAUGGCCCCGACUGCACAAUCGACCAUGAAAAUGCAGAGAUAUGGCCAUUGUUUACAAGUAGGAUGCUUUAUUUGGAGUACAUCAUUGACAUUCUCGUUCAGUGCAGGUACCGGGAGAUAAUAUGGAGCCAAUUGCCUCGCUCCAAAACUGGCAUAAAUAUUCACCAGCCCUUCCUGCACAAAACAAAUUGAUUCCACAUUCAAGGUUACUGAUAAGAUAACAUCCGUGAGUGAAUACCAAUCUACCUCCCAUAGACUGAGCUAGGCUGAAUUUGGUCGGAUGGGGGAAAUCUGCACGCGCUGUGUUGUUGAAUGAUGAAUGGACCAAUUGAGUCUGCAGAGUUCUAUUACUUUCCAUCAUCAAACGAAAGUUGCUGAGGAGCACUGCUCUCCAUUUUAGAGCAGGAACUGAUUAUGCAUACAAAAUGAGGACAGAAUUAACCCUCGCCAGCUACGACUGAAGCCUAAAGGCUGCUUCUUUGUGUUCGUGUUUUUCUUUCUCCAUUAUUUUCCCUGACCAUUCUCUAAUAAUGUUGCCUCCCUCUAAGAUUUGUUAUCUUGCGAUGUAUGUUCAUACCCCUCCCCCGCAUUCAUCUUUCCCGCUUUCCUCCAGACUUCUGCUCUACAGUCAGUGUCCCCCAGGCUUGAACUAACUCCAGUAUGUGAUAUAAAUAUCCUCAGCAUUUAAUCUCUAUGCUCUUUGAGUCUUCUUCAUGGCCGGAGGUUUCUCUAUGCACUCCUAGUUCUCCCAUGUUCUUCCCCUCUGACACCGAACAAGUUUGAUCCACUAACUGAUUGCAGUACUGCAGGACAGAAUUUAUGAAAUAUUUUUAGCCUGCUCACGUUUCUACUGCAUUAUUGGGUCAUGUUUCCUGCACAUGCAUUUUUACUCUAAUGCAGACCGAAUGCCAUAUUAAAAUGCUGUAAAACUAUUCUACACAUUUUUCAGUUGUACCAGUGAAGUCCGAACCACUAACAUACUAUACAGCAUGACCAGUAAAGUUGGAUUCUCAUGCAAAUAACCUUUGUGAGCCAGUUGUAUUUAGUGAUUCUCAAACAUAGGCUGUGUCCGAAAUUUCAAACACUCUGGGUAGAUACAACAGUAGAAUGUAAUCCGG